rnacentral:rRNA from 1 species
AUGCAGGCGAGCAGCCGUUCCACGAGCAGCAUCGACGGUGCGGGAGCUGCCGAAGCAAGCAGCGGACGCACGCCCGGGUCCUGCAGAUCUCACCGAGUGCCACGGACGGCAUCACAUCUCGUGCCGUUCCUGCGUGACUGCAAUUCGCUUGUGGGCCGUGACCGGGGCUUUGCCGUUGCGGGGACGGGGUGGUGCCCGCGAGGUGUUCGGGGCAUUGCACGAGUCGAGCAGAGCAGAUCUGCCGCAUUGGCACGGACGGAGGGGCAUUGGCGCGAGAUAGAAGUAUCCCAGGUCGCAGUUUCCACUGGUGGCAUAUCCUGCUCCAAACCAAUUCCUAGUUGA